GAGUUUCCUUAGCAGAGCUGUGGAGUGUGACAAUGGUGUUUGUGUCUAAACUAUCAAACGCCAUUAUCACACUAAAUAGCUACUGCUAGGCAAUCCUUCCCUCGAUAAA
rnacentral:pre_miRNA from 2 species